rnacentral:rRNA from 1 species
UACGGGGGGGGCAAGCGUUGUUCGGAAUUACUGGGCGUAAAGGGCUCGUAGGUGGCCAACUAAGUCAGACGUGAAAUCCCUCGGCUUAACCGGGGAACUGCGUCUGAUACUGGAUGGCUUGAGUUUGGGAGAGGGACGCGGAAUUCCAGGUGUAGCGGUGAAAUGCGUAGAUAUCAGGAGGAACACCGAUGGCGAAGGCAGGACUCUGGGCCGAUACUGACGCUGAGGAGCGAAAGCGUGGGGAGCAAACAGG